rnacentral:lncRNA from 1 species
CGAAUUCGGUUUGCUCUUCCACAACCGCCGCCGCACCACCGUCUCCCGGAGCAGCCACAGCCGCCGCAGCAGGAGCUAGAGAGAGUGGUGAGACACCGAAUUUAUCCUGGAGGUAAUCGACGAGGAUGCGUGCUUCUUCUAGGGUCAGAGACGAGAUCUCGGAACCAAUCUUCUCGAUUUUCUCUGGAGCUUCGACGGCGGCGACGGGACGGAGGUUGAUUGCGCGGUGGCUGAGCGUGGAAGAAGAAGCGCCAAAGCGAGCCGGGAAUUCGACUCCGGUGGGUCGGGAAGGAAAGCGAUGGACGGAAGCGAGAGUGGGAGAAGAUGAUGAACGGAUUGAGCUUGCGAUGGAAAGAGUCGUCGCUGCCAUUUUCGCUCUUCCUCUUGGGAUUUGUUUUGUGUGUCUCUCUGAGUGUGUUUGUUGGGAUAGAUGGAGAAGAUGAGAGGAUAAAAAAACCAAGGAUAAGGGGUAAUUUGGAAAAUAUAAUAUAUGCGUACGCUUGCUGUAUUAUGCGCGUGUAUACACACCAUGGGACUUAAAAGCAAAAAGGGGCGUUCCGAGAAUCGAACUCGGGACCUCUCGCACCCAAAGCGAGAAUCAUACAACUAGACCAAACGCCCUCGUUGAUAUAUUGAGCCAUUUUUCUACUAAGUCCUCAAAAAUAUUCAGAGUUUGUAGUGGAACUGUGGAACAUUCUCCAUUUCAAAAGAAGCAUAUACAUAAUUGUAUUCAGAUUUUAUACUAGUGUACUCGCAUUGAUAGCCUACUAAUACCAAUGUUGAUGGACACCUAAUCUUUUUCAGCUUUCUACAAUAUUUGUUGCUUUUGUUUUCGCAUCUGUAGUCUAAUAGAACGUUGUAAAAUCUUAGAGGAAUGCCUUCUCUGCUUCAAAGCAGAACAACUCUUUCUUCAUUCUGCUUUAUAUGAUUGGUGAAGACAGCUACUUUGGAAGCCAUGCAUGUCUCAUAUAGUCAAAAGAGUCAUACUAUGUUCAUGUCUCCUAAAUCCGUGUAUGAGUAUGUGACUUCUCCCAUUUCCUAUUUGAAGCUAGGCAUUUCUACAAACAUGUUAUCUACUUAUCUGCAGUUACUAAAGAAGCACCCUACAAUGGCUAAAUCCCUUUUCGGAAUCCAAAUUGAUUCACAUUACAAUAAUUUCUCAAACCUGAAUCAACAAUCCCAGACGCAAACUAUGCUAAACAACACCAAACAAACAAAAAACGUUCCAUAAAAUUCCACAAAAGAAGAACACUUUUACAUUUCCGAAUUUCAAGAAGUUUAAGCAAUGGAAACCUUAGCACCAGCUUCUUCAAGCUGCUUCUUCGCUUCUUCAGCUUCAUCCUUCGUCACACCCUCCUUGAACUUCUUCGGCAACCCUUCAAUGAGCUCCUUGGCUUCCUUCAACGCCAAGCUAGUCAAAGCCCUUACCGCUUUGAUCACUGCAAUACGGUUACUGCUUGGCACUUCGUUGAUAACCACAUCGAAUUCGGUUUGCUCUUCCACCACCGCCGCCGCACCACCGUCGCCCGGAGCAGCCACAGCCGCCGCAGCAGGAGCUAGAGAGAGCGGCGAGACGCCGAAUUUAUCCUGAAGGUAGUCGACGAGGAUGCGGGCUUCUUCGAGGGUCAGAGACGAGAUCUCGGACCCAAUCUUCUCAAUUUUCUCCGGAGCUUCCACGGCGGCAAUGGGACGGAGGUGAGUUGCACGGUGGGUCAGUGUGGAAGAAGAAGCACCAAGGCGAAAGGGAAAUUCGAUUGCGGAGGGUCGGGAAAGGAAGCCAUGGGGAGCGGAAGCGGGAGUGAGAGAAGACGAAGAGCGGAUUGUGGUUGCUAUGGAAAGAGUCGUCGCUGCCAUUUUCACUCUUUGAACUCUUCGGAUUUGUUGUGUGUCUCUCUGUCUGUGUUGCUAAAUUGUGCGAGAGACGAAGAAGAUGAGGAUAAAAAAAACCAAGGAUAAGGGGUAAUUUGGGAAACUCAAAAAUACUAACCAUUGCUAUUGUGCACCUAUACACAUCAAGGAAGUUGUACCGUUCAUAGGUUGACGAAAAUACCCUUGAGAAAGGUAAAUAAAUUAAAAUGGGCCAUUCGGAAAAUCGAACUCAUCACCUAUAUCAUAAAUAAUGACAACGAAGGGUCACAAAGACUUUUGAAUAUAGAGUUCACAGUGAAACAAUUUCCCUUUUUCUUUUUUUGUCAACAACUUUGUAGUGGAAACAUUCUUUUAAUUCAAAAGAAGCAUAUAAUAAUCGUAUAUGUAAAUCACAUCGUGUUGUUUCGAUUUCUCCCUUCUAUAUUUUUCCCACCAAUGCUACAAACAAGAGCAAAUCCCAUUUCCUAUGAAUCCAAAAACCUCCCACGUGUUUAAAAGGCCUGCAAAGAGGUUUUUCACCAUCUACGGCGUCUCCUCCCAUACCAAAACGCAAACGCAGCCACAGAUGCAGCAACAACGACUCCAGUCGCCGCGUGCCAUAUAUGCAAAGGCUUCUCCACCAUCACCACUCUUGAACACUGCCUCGCCAUCUCUGAGCUCGGAACUUCCUUAACUUCCGGAACUAUAUGCUGACUCACCACGGUCUGAGCAAACCCAAGUCCUUCUCUUCCCAGUUCUUCCAAGUCAGUCACAGCUGGUUUCAACUGUGUCGCCUUUGAGAUAGUUUCGUAUUCUUCUUUAGUCCCUCCUUCAAGAAAAGACCCAACGAGGUGACCUUUUUUAACCCAAUAUGCUCCAAAGGCUUUACCGACUUCAUACUCCCCAAAGUGCACAACUUCACCUACAGGGUCUCCGUAGAACUGCCACGAGAAGGCAAAGACCCUUGAGUAGAAAAACGGCAAGAGGUCAAAAUCUCCGGUCUUUUCUGGCUCCAUGAUGGCUGAAACUGCGUGGCGUGCAGAUUUCCUAGCCGAGUCCACAUGCUCAAGCCUCCUCGUUUCGCCAAAUAGUUUCACUGGAAAUGUAGCUACAUCGCCUAUUGCAUACACCGAGCUGUCACUUGACUGCAUUUUGCUGUUCACUUUUAUACCACCUUUCUCUAUUGUUAGCUGUCCUUCAAACAAGCUUGUGUUUGGUCGUAUUCCAAUUCCAACCACGACCAAAUCUGCUGGUAACUGGUUCCCAUCUUUGAGAUUAACCGCCGUGACCUGCAAUUCGAAAUCCCAAAAAGAGCAUAUCAAUAAACAAACACAGCGAACAAUGCUCAUGAUUCUUUCCAUCAUGGGAUCAGGAGACUCCGUCGUUGUAUUGAUUCUUUCCAUCUUUUAGUUCUAUACAUAGAUGCAAAAAACCAGACAUCUUUCAAGUUGAAUCUCAAGCUUAAAAAAAAAAAUAUAUCUAACCUUUUUAUUCGAGUCAAACUCAAAUGAUGUCAAAACCGUUCCUUUGAUGAAUUUCACUCCUUUAGCCCUGUAGUAAUCUUCAUACAAAGUUGCAAUCUUGGGCGUAAAGAGACGCGCCACUGUCAUAAGAAACUGAAAAAGGUCAAGCCAACCACACAGACACAAGCUUUCUCUUUUUUACAUGUAAGUUGAGUAAUAAUGGAGAGUACUUACUGCAGUGAGCCUCUGGAAAAACCAUGGUCACAUUGAUCUUGUUGAUCACUAAAGAUGCAGCACACUCCAUGCCGAUAUAGCCACCACCGAUAACAACAGCAUUACCAUUGGAGCUUGAUUGGAUCGCAGUGGAAAGCCUAUUUGCGUCGCUCAGAUCUCGUAAGUAACAAACAUUUUCAGCAUCUGAGCCUUCCACCCCAAAUUCUUCGAGCUUCAACGGCUGCUUCCACAUGUGACAAUAAUAAGGCCACGACUUUAGCAGUUCAAAGCUCUAAGCUUUAAAAUAGUACAAAUUCCUUUAAAAUUGUCCAGGAUAGAGCAUAUUUGCCAUAUCAGUGUUCACAGCAUCUAAUAGACGUUCCAGUAUUACAGAUCCAUUGACUUCAGUCCAUUUAAGACUCUAGUGAUAAUAAGUAAUAACAGAUUGUAACAUCUCAAAGACGAUAAUAUGAUGGUGAGAACCAGUAAUUUAUCAUAUACGUUAAUGGCACCUUCUCACCUGCAGACGCUCUUACUUCGGAAAAACGAAAUCAUAUAUAUUAUUGUGCAAUCCAUACCCUGGCACCUGUUGCGAUGAUCAAGAAUUUGUAACUUAUAGUCUCCCCGGUGCUCGAUAAAAGAGUCUUCCUCCUCACAUCAACGGACUUAACACGAGUUCCAAGCACUAAUUCAAUUCCUGACAAGCAAGUCACAAAAUUGUCAGAGCUUACUCUCAUAGUCAUAGCCCAAGUAAAGUAGUACUUUCUCAAAAUUGGAUGUGCACAUGUAGUUACCAUGUUCCUUGUACCAUUUCGGGGUGAGCUUCUCAUCAUUAGCCCCAACACAAGUGUGGAAAGAAGGAAGGCGUGCAGGAGCUGCAGAUAAGAUCGUGGGUUAACCCUUACAGAGCCUAAUGAGUGAACUAUAACUGAAUCCCUUAGUUCUUGAGAACAUUCUAUACAUCUUAGCUUCCCCAAAUACCAAAAGCAGAAAAACGCAAGCUAUCACGUUUCUCUUACCUUCUGGCAGCAGAAAACCUUUACUUAACGCGGGCCUCUCAUAUGGUGCAACCUAGAGAAACAGAAAAUGCAGAAGCUAAUUACUUACAGAGGGAAACACAUCAUAUCCCUUUUCCUCCCUCUUUAAUAUUGAUUCACAACCAAUACUUUAUAAAACAAGCAGUGAAUGGAAA